AACGAACGCUGGCGGCAUGCCUAACACAUGCAAGUCGAACGAGAUCUUCGGGUCUAGCGGCGCACGCGUGCGUAACGCGUGGGAAGCUGCCCUUUGGUUCGGAAUAACAGUUGGAAACGACUGCUAACACCGGAUGAUGACGAAAGUCGAAAGAUUUAUCGACGGGGGAUGAGCCCGCGUAGGAUUAGCUAGUUGGUGUGGUAAAGGCGCACCAAGGCGACGAUCGUUAGCUGGUCUGAGAGGAUGAUCAGCCACACUGGGACUGAGACACGGCCCAGACUCCUACGGGAGGCAGCAGUGGGGAAUAUUGGACAAUGGGCGAAAGCCUGAUCCAGCAAUGCCGCGUGAGUGAUGAAGGCCUUAGGGUUGUAAAGCUCUUUUACCCGGGAUGAUGAUGACAGUACCGGGAGAAUAAGCUCCGGCUAACUCCGUGCCAGCCGCCGCGGUAAUAC
rnacentral:rRNA from 1 species